AUCCACUUCACUGGAGUUUUACAAGUGAGCCCAGGAUACAAGACUUAGUGCUGGAGACUGUGGGUCAGGCUCAGCUCAGGGAAAGAUGUUUCCUAUAUCCCAGCUGAUUUUGCCAAGCACUUGGUCACUAAAGUGAUCUGUGAGAACAUCAUCUUUCCUCGUUGCUGGCAAGAGCUAUUGCAAAUGGAGCUCCUCUAAGGGAGUUUAUUUCGAUGAAGUUGGAAUAUCAUGAGGUAUACUGGUCCCCGCCAUUUCUGGAAGCAAGGUUACCCAAUAGAGCUGAUACAGUUCUGCCAGUUCUCUCAUACCUGCAAGAUCGUCUACCCUGCUUUGAACUCAGAAAAUCUUGGUUUUGGGACAUGCAACUCAGCACGAGGGAGAGAAAGCUGUGGAAGAGGAAUAGAGGAGGGUGAGAAGAAACAGAGAUUGUUCUUAGAAUUUUCUGAGUGGAAAGGACACUCAGACCAUCGAGUCCAACUCCUGUCCCCACACAGGACCAUUCAAAAUCCAACCCUAUGUCUGAGAGCAGUGUUUCAUCUCCCAGUGGCCCUUGACCUCCAGCACUUGGGGCCGUGCCCACCACCCUGUGGUGCAGCCCCUGUUCCUGACCCCCAGCUGCCCUCCCCUGACUGCUCCAUGCCGU